UACGGAGGGUGCAAGCGUUAUCCGGAUUCACUGGGUUUAAAGGGUGCGUAGGCGGGUUGGUAAGUCCGUGGUGAAAUCCCCAAGCUUAACUUGGGAACUGCCGUGGAUACUAUCAAUCUUGAAUAUCGUGGAGGUAAGCGGAAUAUGUCAUGUAGCGGUGAAAUGCUUAGAUAUGACAUAGAACACCAAUUGCGUAGGCAGCUUACUACACGAUCAUUGACACUGAGGCACGAAAGCGUGGGGAGCAAACAGG
rnacentral:rRNA from 1 species